rnacentral:rRNA from 1 species
AAAGCGUGUGCAGGCGGUUAUAUAAGACAGAUGUGAAAUCCCCGGGCUCAACCUGGGAACUGCAUUUGUGACUGUAUAGCUGGAGUGCGGCAGAGGGGGAUGGAAUUCCGCGUGUAGCAGUGAAAUGCGUAGAUAUGCGGAGGAACACCGAUGGCGAAGGCAAUCCCCUGGGCCUGCACUGACGCUCAUGCACGAAAGCGUGGGGAGCAAACAGGAUUAGAUACCCGGGU